GAUGAACGCUGGCGGCGUGCCUAAUACAUGCAAGUCGAGCGAACAGAUAAGGAGCUUGCUCCUUUGACGUUAGCGGCGGACGGGUGAGUAACACGUGGGUAACCUACCUAUAAGACUGGAAUAACUCCGGGAAACCGGGGCUAAUGCCGGAUAACAUUUAGAACCGCAUGGUUCUAAAGUGAAAGAUGGUUUUGCUAUCACUUAUAGGUGGACCCGCGCCGUAUUAGCUAGUUGGUAAGGUAACGGCUUACCAAGGCAACGAUACGUAGCCGACCUGAGAGGGUGAUCGGCCACACUGGAACUGAGACACGGUCCAGACUCCUACGGGAGGCAGCAGUAGGGAAUCUUCCGCAAUGGGCGAAAGCCUGACGGAGCAACGCCGCGUGAGUGAUGAAGGUCUUCGGAUCGUAAAACUCUGUUAUUAGGGAAGAACAAAUGUGUAAGUAACUGUGCACGUCUUGACGGUACCUAAUCAGAAAGCCACGGCUAACUACGUG
rnacentral:rRNA from 1 species